CAGACACCAUGAGGUAAGCCGCUUUGCUCUGCUGCACACUCCUCACCAUGAUGUUCUGCUUGGCUACAGGCUCAAAAGACAUGAGGCAAAACGGACCAUGGACUGAAACUUCUGAAAUCCUUUUUUCUCUUUUUGCUCUCAGAAUUGCUAACCCUAAGCCUGUGAAGCUGAAGACUACACUUCCCAUUAUGGGUUACUGAUGAAAGGUUAAAGAAAUUGAAAUGUGAAAGAUAAGAUUUGUUUCAAGUUCUGUAAAGUUUUUAAGUUCUAUUAAGUUGUAUUUGGAACCUGAAAUUCAUGUGGAAGUUUAAAACAACUCCCGGAAAAAGCCACUGAAAUGUAUGUUGAAAUCUCCCCUGACCAUCUGGUUGCUCUGUAAAAACAACCCCCUCCCCAUCCAGAAACUGUGCAGUCCUGCACAUACACACCUCAGGACUUAAGCCAAUCAGUUCAUAUGUAUACCCUUCUUUGUGCUGACCAAUCACCCCUACCCGACCUGUUCCUGCCAGUGAAUGUACUAAUCAUGGUUAAGAGUUGUUGAUUAAUGUUUCCGUGGUGUGUGAUGAUUUGUUAUGCUGUAUGUGAAGCCCCUGCCCCUUUCCAAAAAAUGUAUAUAAGCCCUGCUCAAGCUGUACUCGGGGCUCUUUGAUCUCCGCUCCUCCGAAGUGAGCUCUGAGCCCCAGCAUGCUGGACCCCCAAUAAACCCUUUGCUGUUGCAUGAGA